rnacentral:rRNA from 1 species
AAAGUUGAAAAGUACUUUGAAGAGAGAGUAAACAGUGCGUGAAACCGCUCAGAGGUAAACGGGUGGAGUUGAACUGUGAGCUCUGUGGAUUUAGCUGGUGAGUGUGGUUUGAGCUUGGUCAAAUUGGUUGAUGCUCGGGGUCUGCGUAGCAGCAGGUCUUCACCUUCGGGUGGGGAUGCGCGAUGCACUUAUCAAGUGUUGCGCGCUUCGAGUUGAUUCGGGCCAGCUUGCCAGUGCACUUUCGCAGAGCGGUCACCACGACCGGCAUCGCUGUCUUGCUGUUGUGGUUAAACCGGCCUUGCAUUGUCCUUGUGGCUUUGUCUGGUCGGGAUGGCAGGUAGCCCGUUGGCUUUCCUGUGGCUUGCCACAGGACUCCGGCCCUCGGGUGUAAUCAGCUGACCACAUCGGUCAUGUGCAGUAUGUCGGAGACGGCGGCUUGUGGUGUGUGCGUGCGUGCCAGUUGGCCGGCGUGUCCGGGUUCGGUUGUUAUCCGCCUGUGUUCACAGGCCUAAUGAUAUCUCGGAUUCGUUCGGUCGGCGGUUGCGUGCGUGUCACUGUUUCCAGGGCCAAUAGUCUGUGGUGUUGCGGUAGACUAUCCACCUGACCCGUCUUG